rnacentral:rRNA from 1 species
GACGAACGCUGGCGGCGUGCUUAACACAUGCAAGUCGGACGGUGAACCGGGCUUCGGCCCGGGGAUCAGUGGCGAACGGGUGCGUAACACGUGGGCAACCUGCCCCAGACACUGGGAUAACCCCGGGAAACCGGGGCUAAUACCGGAUACUCCGGCCGGACCGCAUGAUCUGGCCGGGAAAGCUCCGACGGUCUGGGAUGGGCCCGCGGCCUAUCAGCUUGUUGGUGGGGUCACGGCCCACCAAGGCGACGACGGGUAGCUGGUCUGAGAGGACGACCAGCCACACUGGAACUGAGAUACGGUCCAGACUCCUACGGGAGGCAGCAGUGGGGAAUCUUGCACAAUGGGCGCAAGCCUGAUGCAGCGACGCCGCGUGGGGGACGACGGCCCUCGGGUUGUAAACCCCUUUCGGCAGGGAAGAAGCGCAAGUGACGGUACCUGCAGAAGAAGUCCCGGCUAACUACGUGCCAGCAGCCGCCGUAACAC